UGGGAAUAUUGGACAAUGGGCGGAAGCCUGAUCCAGCAACGCCGCGUGAGGGAUGACGGCCUUCGGGUUGUAAACCUCUUUCAGCACAGACGAAGCGCAAGUGACGGUAUGUGCAGAAGAAGGACCGGCCAACUACGUGCCAGCAGCCGCGGUAAUACGUAGGGUCCGAGCGUUGUCCGGAAUUAUUGGGCGUAAAGGGCUCGUAGGCGGUUUGUCGCGUCGGGAGUGAAAACACCGGGCUUAACUCGGUGCUUGCUUUCGAUACGGGCAGACUAGAGGCAUUCAGGGGAGAACGGAAUUCCUGGUGUAGCGGUGAAAUGCGCAGAUAUCAGGAGGAACACCGGUGGCGAAGGCGGUUCUCUGGGAAUGUCCUGACGCUGAGGAGCGAAAAGUGUGGGGAGCGAACAGGAUUAGAUACCCUGGUAGUCCACACCGUAAACGUUGGGCGCUAGGUGUGGGAUCCAUUCCACGGGUUCCGUGCCGCAGCUAACGCAUUAAGCGCCCCGCCUGGGGAGUACGGCCGCAAGGCUAAAACUUAAAUGAAUUGACGGGGUCAU
rnacentral:rRNA from 1 species